rnacentral:rRNA from 1 species
UGGGGAAUAUUGGACAAUGGGCGAAAGCCUGAUCCAGCCAUGCCGCGUGUGUGAAGAAGGUCUUCGGAUUGUAAAGCACUUUAAGUUGGGAGGAAGGGCAGUAAGCGAAUACCUUGCUGUUUUGACGUUACCGACAGAAUAAGCACCGGCUAACUCUGUGCCAGCAGCCGCGGUAAUACAGAGGGUGCAAGCGUUAAUCGGACUUACUGGGCGUAAAGCGCGCGGAGGUGGUUCGUUAAGUUGAAUGUGAAAGCCCCGGGCUCAACCUGGGAACUGCGUCCAAAACUGGCGAGCUAGAGUAGGGCAGAGAGGUGUGGAAUUUCCUGUGUAUCUGUGAAAUGCGUAUAUAUAGUAAGGAACACCACUGGCGAAGACGACCACCUAGGCUCAUACUGACACUGAGGUGCGAAAGCGUGGGGAGCAAACAGG